GAGUUUGAUCAUGGCUCAGAGCGAACGCUGGCGGCAGGCUUAACACAUGCAAGUCGAGCGGGCCCUUCGGGGUCAGCGGCGGACGGGUGAGUAACGCGUGGGAACGUGCCUUCUGGUUCGGAAUAACCCUGGGAAACUAGGGCUGAUACCGGAUACGCCCUUUUGGGGAAAGGUUUACUGCCGGAAGAUCGGCCCGCGUCUGAUUAGCUAGUUGGUGGGGUAAUGGCCUACCAAGGCGACGAUCAGUAGCUGGUCUGAGAGGAUGAUCAGCCACACUGGGACUGAGACACGGCCCAGACUCCUACGGGAGGCAGCAGUGGGGAAUAUUGGACAAUGGGCGCAAGCCUGAUCCAGCCAUGCCGCGUGAGUGAUGAAGGCCUUAGGGUUGUAAAGCUCUUUUAUCCGGGACGAUAAUGACGGUACCGGAGGAAUAAGCCCCGGCUAACUUCGUGCCAGCCGCCGCGGUAAU
rnacentral:rRNA from 1 species